UCCGGGUUGGUCCCGGCGGUCCCGCUAGACACCGUAACUAGCGGCAGGGGUUGCGCUCGUUGCGAGACUUAACCCAACAUCUCACGACACGAGUUGACGACAGCCAUGCAGCACCUGUGUCGGCUCCCCUUGCGGGGUCGGGCCCCUUUCGGUUUCCUACCACCGACAUGUCAAGCCCAGGUAAGGUUUUUCGCGUUGCGUCGAAUUGAACCACAUGCUCCACCGCUUGUGCGGGUCCCCGUCAAUUCCUUUGAGUUUUAGCCUUGCGGCCGUACUCCCCAGGCGGGGCACUUAAUGCGUUAGCUUCGGCACGGAACCCGUCGAUAGAGCCCCACACCUAGUGCCCAACGUUUACGGCGUGGACUAC
rnacentral:misc_RNA from 1 species